rfam:Planococcus rifietoensis strain M8, complete genome.
CUUACCUUUUAAGGAAUGUCCAGAGAGGCAUGGAAAGGGUUAUGGAUAGGGGUGCAGUCUACCCUUAUUUCCUUACACCUUCCUGCCCCUGGGAAGGUGUUUUUUUGU